rnacentral:rRNA from 1 species
GAUGAACGCUAGUGGCAGGCUUAACACAUGCAAGUCGAGGGGCAUCACGGGUAGCAAUACCUGGUGGCGACCGGCGCGAGGGUGCGUAACGCGUGAGCAACAUGCCCUAUACAGGGGGAUAAUCCAGGGAAACUUGGUCUAAUAUCCCAUAGCAUUUAGAGGUGGCAUCACCAUUAAAUUAAAGCUUCGGUGGUAUAGGAUUGGCUCGCGUGACAUUAGCUAGAUGGUGGGGUAACGGCUCACCAUGGCUAUGAUGUCUAGGGGUUCUGAGAGGAAGACCCCCCACACUGGGACUGAGACACGGCCCAGACUCCUACGGGAGGCAGCAGUGAGGAAUAUUGGACAAUGGAUGGAAAUCUGAUCCAGCCAUGCCGCGUGCAGGAAGACGGCCCUAUGGGUUGUAAACUGCUUUUAUAUGGGAGCAAUAAGGUCUACGAGUAGACCGAUGAGAGUACCAUAUGAAUAAGCAUCGG